CAGCAGCCACGGUAAAACGGAGGGGGCUAGCGUUGUUCGGAAUUACUGGGCGUAAAGCGCACGUAGGCGGCUUUGUAAGUUAGAGGUGAAAGCCUGGGGCUCAACUCCAGAAUUGCCUUUAAGACUGCAUCGCUUGAACGUCGGAGAGGUGAGUGGAAUUCCGAGUGUAGAGGUGAAAUUCGUAGAUAUUCGGAAGAACACCAGUGGCGAAGGCGGCUCACUGGACGACUGUUGACGCUGAGGUGCGAAAGCGUGGGGAGCGAACAGGAUUAGAGACCCCUGUAGUCCCUGUCUCUUAUAC
rnacentral:rRNA from 1 species